UGUGGAAUAUUGGACAAUGGGGGCAACCCUGAUCCAGCAAUGCCGCGUGUGUGAAGAAGGCCUGCGGGUUGUAAAGCACUUUCAGUAGAGAAGAAAAGCUUAGGGUUAAUACCCCUGAGUCUUGACGUUACCUACAGAAGAAGCACCGGCUAACUCCGUGCCAGCAGCCGCGGAAAUACGGAGGGUGCAAGCGUUAAUCGGAAUUACUGGGCGUAAAGCGCGCGUAGGUGGUUGUGUAAGUCGAAUGUGAAAGCCCAAGGCUUAACCUUGGAAUUGCAUCCGAUACCGCAUGACUAGAGUAUGGUAGAGGGAAGUGGAAUUUCCUGUGUAGCGGUGAAAUGCGUAGAUAUCGGAAGGAACACCAGUGGCGAAGGCGACUUCCUGGGCCAAUACUGACACUGAGGUGCGAAAGCGUGGGGAGCAAACAGGAUUAGAUACCCCUGUAGUCC
rnacentral:rRNA from 1 species